rnacentral:rRNA from 1 species
UCCGUAGGGUAACCUGCGGAGGGAUCAUUGCUGGAACAAACGCCCUCACGGGUGCUACCCAGAAACCCUUUGUGAAUACUACCUAAAAAAUGUUGCCUCGGCGCAGGUUGGCCCUUUUACAGGGUCCCUUCUCCCCUAGGGGUUUAGGAGCAGACCGGCCGGCGGCCCUAUAAACUCUUGUUUUUGUAAAAUCAUCUGAGUAAAAAAAAUAAAUGAAUCAAAACUUUCAACAACGGAUCUCUUGGUUCUGGCAUCGAUGAAGAACGCAGCGAAAUGCGAUAAGUAAUGUGAAUUGCAGAAUUCAGUGAAUCAUCGAAUCUUUGAACGCACAUUGCGCCCGGUGGUAUUCCACCGGGCAUGCCUGUUCGAGCGUCAUUUCAACCCUCAAAGCCUAGCUUUGGUGUUGGAGGAAGACCUGUAAAAAGGUCCCCUCCCAAAUUUAGUGGCGGGCUCGCUAGAAUUUUGAGCGUAGUAAUUUUACCUCGUUUUUAAAGACUAGUGGGACUUCUUGCCGUAAAACCCCCCAACUUUCUGAAAAUGACCUCGAA